GGGCCUCCCAUCCACCACUUCCUGUUGUCGGCCUAAAACCGCGCCUGCGCACUUCCCAUCUUCCUCUUAGGCUCGGAUCUAGGUUGAGUUAACAUGGCGAAACGCACCAAGAAGGUCGGAAUCGUGGGCAAAUACGGGACCCGUUAUGGUGCCUCCCUCAGGAAAAUGGUGAAGAAAAUUGAAAUCAGCCAGCACGCCAAGUAUACCUGCUCUUUCUGUGGCAAAACCAAGAUGAAGAGAAGAGCUGUGGGCAUUUGGCACUGUGGUUCCUGCAUGAAAACAGUAGCUGGUGGUGCCUGGACCUACAAGUGAGUCCAUUUCUUUAAGGUGUUUGAAAGUGUGUGGGCCAUGUCAAAAUUCAGGUCUCUCGCUGGAUGGGCUAAUUUUAACAGAUCUGCUAGUUCGGCUGACUAAUGAACAUCGCUUGUAUGGCAGGCUGUUUUUGUAAAAAUUAAGAAGUCAGCUUAUUGCUGUACAUAAUGAGGCCAUCUGGCCAACACACCUUUGCUAUUCUAAACAGUAUUGGUUGUGCUUCUUCAGCUUUGUGACUCACAGUGGCCAAGUGAUAAUUGCAGACGUACCUACUGUGUUGGUUAUUGAUUAUAUUGGACUUUAUCCAAUUCUGGAAAUUCAAGCCAUCCUUGAAGGCCUCUAACCUGGAGAUUCAUUGCUGAACCUGAAGGCUGACAUGGUUUCCCUUUAACCAGUUUGUAAACUCGUGCUGUCCAGUACAUUAGUCACAUAGUAAAAUGAUUUGGCUAGUGUAUUGAAAUUUUUGGUUUUUGUUAAAGUUGAAACAGUGUAAAAUACUGGAAAAUGUUGAAAUGAUAAUGUGGACAUGUAUAUAUAUAUAUAAAAGCACCUUGUUGGGGUUCUGUGUGGGGAAAAUGGAGAGUGCUCUUGUUUGUGAUGAAUAAAUGAAUUAGCUUUGAUCUACCACAUGAGAUGGAGUGGUUAUGUUUUUCAGGUACAGUGCCUGAGUGUUGUAGUAAAACAUUGUUUUGUCACUUCCACAGUGUGCUUUAGUCAGCUCUGCCGUCUUAGACAUUGUUUUCUUGCUAUCUCUCAUUGUAGCAUCUUGUAAUUUAUUAGUUAGUUCUGACAUUCUGUCCAUUCCUUUUUAAUGAGUUUAGGCAGCCUCUCCCAAUCUUUCCUUCCUGUUAAUUUCAUGCUCCACUAUCUGUGAGAAGUCAGAUGUAUGGGAUUGCCAGUAGAUGUCAUCGUUAGGAUUGUAAUGUAAAAAUGAGGCAUAUUCUCAUUUGCCAUUCUGCAUGUUAACUAGUUUUGGAACCAAAUUUGUUUUUCUUUACAGCACCACUUCUGCUGUCACAGUAAAGUCUGCCAUCAGAAGACUGAAGGAAUUGAAGGACCAGUAGAAGCACCACCAUUUGAUAAUGUUGCUAGCCUAUAAUAAAUGGGUUAAUUUAUGUAACAAAAUUACUUUGGCUUGUUAAUUUUAUUGGUUAGACAUUCUUAUUUGCAUUGCAUUAUUUUUGCUUUCUAAAAUAAGGACUUAAUUAAAAUCCUUUAAAUUUUUCUUGGGAAA